rnacentral:lncRNA from 1 species
AUUUAUGCACGCGCACACACACACCCCUUAGCAACCGUCUAUUCAUGUGGUGAAGAUAAACUGGUGCAACCUCUUUUUUCUCGUGCAAUUUCUAGGAUGCAAUUCUUGGUUCGUGAACUGUUUGUCCGGUAAAGUUUAUUCGGAUAGCCUUAAUUGACCCUAUCAGACUUCUCUAUGUGUGCUUUCUACAUUUGAGGUUCAGUUCAGUAGUACAUAAACAUACACAAAACUUGGGCUAUGUUUGAUAAUGAAGCAGGAAUUUAUGCACACGCGCACCUUAGCAACCAUGUGUGGUAAAGAUAAAACAGUGCAAUCCUCUUUGGUUCUCACAGAAAAGCUAGGAUGCAAUUCCUGGGUAGUGAUCUCCUUGUACGGUAAAGUUGUUUUUUUUACUUCCUUGGUUGGCCCUAUCGGACUGCUCAAUGUGUGCAUUCUACAAUUGUUUUUCAGAUCAGUUGUAAGUAAACUUAUACAAAACAUAGGCAUUUUUUAAUAACAUGGCAGAAAUUUAUGCACACACGCACACACCUUAGCAACCAUUAUUCAAGUGGUAACGAUAAACCUGUGUAACACUCUUAGGCCCUCACACAAUUGCUACGGUGUAGUUCCUGCAACUUAUGACAAAAAAAUUGUUUUGAAGUAUAAGAAUAAACUAGAUUAUUUAUUGGCUAAGUAACUAUUACAUCACCUACAUAUAACUUAAUAGAGCAGGCAUAUUGUUAGGUGAUUCUUCAAUUAUGUCAUGUGAUUUAUUUGGGAGGUCAUUGCCAACAACUCUUUCGCUGAUAUCAACCUGAAACAAGAACAUGAUAAUAGUAUAUUAAUACUCAUACUUUUAUCUUUGUAGAAAGAAAUGUGGUUUAGGUACCAACUUCAUCACUUCCUGCCGUUACAAAUCCAUUCCUCCAAUCUUCUUUGUGGAAUUUUUGCUUCACGAAUGAACGCAUCAUAGCAAACUCAUCUGACAUGUUUUCUACAUUAUCACCUAUUACCUGUUGUGCAAAUGGAAUAUUUUCUUCUUUUUCAGAAUGCUAAACAAAAGUCAGUCUCAGAGAAACAUUUAUUCCGCUCCAAUACUUAUCACCAUAAAACCCUCGAAAUUCUUUCACCUCUUCAGCAUGCAUACUUUUAAAUACUUCUCUACAAUCAUUGAAUGGAAGGAUCCCAUUGUUAGCGUCAUUUAUUUGUUCCAGUUUCUCCUAUUGGAACAAAUACCAGCAUCUUAUUACACUAAGGUUAAAUUAAAGCAUUUACUUUAAUCACAAGUUGACUGUGAACAAACGCACUGGGAUUUGUAGCUAAAGUAUCAAAUAUUAUUAUACGAGUCAGACAGGUUGUAGGUAUGGCAAGAAUACGAUGUGGAUGCAGGUGGAAACAAAUGGCAGUACUGAAUCAAACCGGGUACAGAACAAUGAAUCAACACGUGUUGCCACAGAGAACAUUCAAUGCAAAACUUCAAAGGGAUGACUUCUUAAAUACGAGGGUUGUGUGUGUCAGUACAAUGCCCCCCUUCAGUUUGGACAUUGGUUCAAUUACAUAGUUAGUAACCUGGUCCACUACACAUUUUAGUGAUAUAGAAUUAGGUUGUGUAUACCGGUAUCUGUGACUGAUCUUUGGUGUGGGGCAAUGUAUAGUAACAACAAAUGUAGAGGUUAGUAUCCAAUGCGUAUCUCAUAUCCUGGAAAGUUAAAGUUACUAGCUGAUGUGGUUAUUUGGCCAGUCUAUGUUACACCAAUUGUACUGUUGAUUUCUUCCAUUAAAAUUUGAUUCGACCAAGCAGUUGUUGACAUAUUUUCAAGAAAAUCUGUCAGAAAAUAAUUCUAGGCAAGCAAACAAUUCACCAAACACUUCGAGUACAUUGCCUACAGGAAGGAAGUAAGGGGACGAAGGAGAAGAAGAUGAGAGGUAAACAUGCAUAAAUGAAGGAGGCCACUUUGGUCAAUUUAAUGAUAAAACUAUAGGGGCUACGAGAUUAAAGGGAUCACCUGCUUGACGUGGUGGAGGCUGAAGAUGCUGGAUGGAGGCGACAAAUCUUGCGAGGCGGUGUCGAGUGAAGCAUGAGAUUGGCAUGGAUGCAACUUCGUGAUGGUGAGAAUGACGCCGGUGGGAGCACGGCUUCGUGAAUCGUGAUGGAGAGGACGACGGAUGCCGACGAGGAUCCAACUAGCGACCUUCUUGAUGGAGGAAAAUGGAAGUCGGCGGCAGGCGGAUCUAGCGGUAGAGGAUAGCGCUUGAGGAUGCGGCGGUCACUGCGCGGGGUGCAUGGUAUGGGCAGCGCGCGGGGUGAUGAUGCCGGGUAGAUCGGAAUCCGGUGGUUGGAUAAAUGGGGAGAUGGGGAAGAUGACCAGGAGGAAAAAUAUC